rnacentral:misc_RNA from 1 species
GCAAAACCCAAUUUACUAAAGCUCGCUCACUACCUACCAGAAAACCCUACUCACUCUUCAAGAGAAUCUGCUGCCAAAUGCCUUCUUUUGCCGCUUGAAGCUCCUUCUGGAAAAUUCAGGUGUCAUUCUUGAACACUUAAAUCUUGCAAGAAGGGGGAGUUCUAUGGAUUAUAGCUCCGGGGAAGACACUGAUAUAAGUGAAUCAGAGAUUGAAGAAUAUGGAGAAAAAUCUUACGAAGAUUUGAAGAGCGGAAGCCGUUCUCUUAAGAUAUCAGAUGUGGCAUAUACUUGCCCAUAUUGUCCAAAGAAAAGAAAGCGUGACUUUUUGUACAAGGAACUCGUACAGCAUGCAAGUGGGGUGGGAAGCUGUAGCUCCAAUAAAAGAACUGCAAGAGAAAAGGCGAAUCAUCUUGGGUUGGCAAAGUACUUGGAAACUGAUGCUGCAGUUGCUGCUGAUUCAUCUAAACCUGAUGCCGAGCCAGAUACUCAAACUGACCCUCUUGCGGAUCAUGACCGUGAUGAGAUGUUUGUCUGGCCUUGGAUCGGGGUUGUUGUGAACAUUCCUACUGAAUACAAGGAUGGACGCAAUGUGGGAGAAAGUGGUUCUAAGCUGAGGGAUCAGUUGACAAGGAGAGGUUUCAACCCUACAAGGGUACGUCCUCUGUGGAAUUACCAAGGCCAUUCUGGUACAGCUCUUGUUGAAUUCAACAAAGACUGGUCAGGAUUUGGUAAUGCAAUGGCGUAUGAGAAGGCUUAUGAGGCUGACCAUCAUGGCAAGAAGGACUGGAAAGUCAACCAUAGUAAAAACUCUGAUCUGUAUGCUUGGAUUGCUCGUGCCGAUGACUAUAAAGCUAUUAAUAUCAUCGGUGAAAAUCUCCGCAAGGUUGGAGACCUUAGAACCAUUUCCGAUAUCAUGGAAGAAGAAGCUCGGAAGACGAACAAGCUCGUUUCUAAUUUGACAAAUGUUAUUGAAGUCAAGAAGUUACACCUAAAGGAGAUGGCAGACAAAUUUAAGGAGACUUCACAGUCUUUGAAACAAUUGGUUGAAGAGAAAGAUAAACUGCAUCAAGCGUACAAUGAAGAGAUAAGAAAAAUCCAGUCAAGUGCACGUGAUCAUUUCCAGAAGAUAUUUAAUGAUCAUGAAAAGUUGAAAUUGCAAUUGGAAUCGCAAAAGAAAGAGCUUGAGCUACGAGGUAGAGAACUGGAGAAACGCGAGGCGAAAAAUGAAAGUGAUAGGAAGAAACUGUCUGAGGAUCUUGAACAGAAUGCUACUCUAAAUACCUCACUUAGUGCCGCAGCUGAAGAGCAAAGAAAGGUUGACGAGAAAGUACUGAAAUUGGCUGAAGAGCAGAAGAGGCAAAAGGAAGAUCUCCAUAAGAGAAUAAUUCAGCUGGAAAAACAACUUGAUGCGAAACAAGCGGUAGAGCUUGAAAUUGAGCAGUUGAGAGGGUCAUUGAACGUGAUGAAACAUAUUGAAGAUGAAGGUGAUCAAGAAGUUUUGAAAAAGGUGGACACACUCCUUAAAAGUUUAAGAGAGAAGGAAGAGGAAUAUGAUGGUUUGGAAGCAUUAAAUCAAACUCUGAUAGUGAAGGAAAGAAACAGUAAUGAUGAGCUGCAAGACGCUCGCAAAGAAUUGGUUAAUGGUUUGAAGGAACUACCGAGAGUUGGUCCAAUUGGUGUUAAGAGGAUGGGGGAGCUUGACAACAGACCAUUCCAUGAAGCAAUGAAGAGGAACUAUAAUGAGUCAGAAGCAGAUGAAAGAGCUACAGAGUUAUGCUCAUUGUGGGAGGAAUACCUUAGAGACCCUGGAUGGCAUCCCAUUAAAGUCGUUAUGAUUAACGGGAAACCUGAGAAUGUUAUAGACGAAGAAGAUGAAAAGCUGAAAGACUUGAAAAGAAAUUAUGGUGAAGAAGUUUGCAAAGCUGUGACAGCAGCUUUGAUGGAGGUAAACGAUUACAACCCGAGUGGAAGAUACAUCAUCUCAGAGCUGUGGAAUUAUGCGGUGAAUAAGAAAGCUACUUUGGAGGAGGGAGUUACUGUGUUACUAAACAUGUGGAAAAAGAAGAGAGGAUCUGAUUGAGGCUUCUAUGUGCUUUCCUUAGCCGUUUAGGCAGCCCCAAGAAUGGGGUGGGUGUGAUAACAUGUGACAACAACUUCAAACUCGUAAUAACUAUUAGAACCAUGAAUUCUUGUGUGAAUAAGAUGCACUCUGUGUUCCGAUUACCCUGUCGUUUAUUUUAUUUGGGGGGUUGAGCUUCCUCCUCCUGUGACUUAAUCAUAAGGAUAAGGUUUUCAAUGCCAUUUAGUUGGUGAGAUAUGUAGUGUGAGAUGCAGGUAUGUCAAUUCUUGCAAGAGCACUGUCAUCUUCCAAGUCAGGUAAUGGAGUCUAAUAAAGUAAACUAUAACAACUCAGUGAAAUCCCUACAACUAUGUAUGUAGAUGCACUGAAUAACUCUAAUCUAAUGUUCAUGUCUCUCCGAGUAUUGUAUAUU